UACGUAGGUGACCAGCGUUGUCCGGAUUUACUGGGCGUAAAGAGCGCGCAGGCGGUCGUUCAAGUCGCGUGUGAAAGCCCCCGGCUCAACUGGGGAGGGUCACGCGAUACUGAUCGACUCGAAGGCAGGAGAGGGUAGUGGAAUUCCCGGUGUAGUGGUGAAAUGCGUAGAUAUCGGGAGGAACACCAGUGGCGAAGGCGACUACCUGGCCUGUUUCUUGACGCUGAGGCGCGAAAGCUAGGGGAGCAAACGGG
rnacentral:rRNA from 1 species